AUGGUGCAAUUCGGGCAAUCAUCGAGAUGCAGAGCUUAUGAUACUGAAUUUUGGGAUUCGUUUCCACUCUCCUGCCUUCAAAAUCCAACGCCAAGUGUGUGUUUGGUUACGCGUUCAGAAAAAGAAACAUUCUGCCGUGAAAACAAAUAUACACUAAGACUCACUGCAUGCAAUAACAUUGAUAACCAGGUGACCCACCUGUGUGUUGGUAAGUUCAAGAAGAGGAUCUCAAAGUUACCCCAAAGAUGUCAGAAUGACCUGAAGUGCAAUGGAGUAUACCUAUAUCAUUUUGUAAAUAGUGAUAUCUUAGUACAUUUCCUGUAG